AUAUUCAACUGCUACCCACACUGCUUUGCGGUUAUAAAAGAACUAACACGCAGAAUGCGUUCUCUUUCCCUCCUUGUCUUCAAGCUGAUCGAGGCAAAGUUGUUUCGUCUUGGAACGCACAGCUAACUAGUUUUCCCCUCUACUGAGCGAGAAACAAUGCAUUAUUUAUCAUGUGAGUUUGCGAAAACUGAAAGAGGUAGACGAUAUCGACAUCAUCUUCAGAAACCCCCGUGAUAUUUGGAUGGCGUGUUACAAGCUGCAAACUCGACUGCAGAACAAAGUGAUGCCUAGACUGGAAGACUACCGCAUGGUAACGGGACCGUCAUCCAUAUCGCAGAGCUGGGGCAUUGGGAUUCCGUUUCCAGGAUCAGAAAGGAUUGCUGGUAUAAACGCCUGUCCCUAUGAAGAAAGUGGAUCAGCAGUUGGGGGGCGGUGCCGGUUUCGGUGCCUGUUCAUUAAUGUGUAACUGAUGUUAAUAAACGAUGCAUAAAUCU